UCGAGCGAUCGAAAUUCAAAAAUCGGUCCCCAGAUCACCUCAUACAAAAAUAGAUUCAGCGACAUACUGUUUGAGCUUAGAGGCAGAAUGCUGUAGGUAUGUGGGGUAGUUUAAUAUAAUAAAUACUUUUAAUUAUUAAAAAAAACAACGGGUUGCACUGCGGGAGUGCCGGCAGAAGUGAAAACUUGAAUAUUAACGUUGUUCAUUAUUGAUAUUUUGGAAUGGUUAGGGAAUAAUUUUUCACGAGUUGCUUUAAUUGCCGGGCAAAAAUAAGAGCUUGGUAAAAGAUAUCUUAUUCACAACACGCUAUUACAUUUUGUCUAUAAGUGAAUGAGACAACAAUUCGCAAUUACUUUCGUUUUAUUUCAGACUUGUCACAUAAAUUUAAAAAGCAUAGAUUACUAAGCCGCACAUCCUUGCACGCGGUCGAAUGCUGAUAGCGACCCUGCGGCACCCCAUCUAAGGCGGAGCCGGCAUUCGUUGGUGGUUUUAGACGGUAGUCCUCUACUUGUUAGUCCGUCAUCGCCCCUGGUUUCCCCCGGACUAGGUGGCAUGCGUAAAAGCAUUUCCCCAAAAAAAGGCCGCACAUCCUUAGUGAAGCCACUUCAGCUGCGACAUAAUGUCGCACUCGUUCGUACGGCCCACGCAGUACUCAAGGUUGAGUCGGUUUGUGUACACCUCCCGGUUGUAAAUUAAAAAAAUACAGGAAAGAUGGCUGUUUGUGCGGUGAAUGUGUGUCACAAUUCAUCACUUAAUAAAAACAAAUCUCCUGAUUUUACAUUCCACGCGUAAGCAUCUAGUUUAAUAUGAUAUUUUUACGUAAUUGUGAAUACAAAAAUCCAAACCUUCGUCAGUCGCCAUUGCUUAUAAAUGUUGCCUGUAAAUUAAUCAUUUUUCCUCAUAGACCUUCGUAAAGACUGGCCUUACGAGCACUACGAAUGGGGUCGAUACAUAGGCGUCAAAAUCGCAUUUAGUUACACCGCUGCGCUCAGUCGUGGAAGCGCGUCACGUAAUGCCAUUGACAAUUUUUUAAAUGUCUAAUUGUGUUGUGAAAUUGUGUAAAAACUAUUACAGAAAAAUCAAAUACACGUAUGAGAUUUCAUAUAAUCGGUAAAUCAUUUCAAUUACAUUACAAUUAGUAUCCAGCCUUCUUCUUUUACUAGAUUUUGUUAUAAAAUUCAACAUGUGUGUAAAUCCCUAUUCGAAAUUGAUUUUAAUAUGACAAUUGUGCGCUGCACAAAGUACAAAGAAACCAGCUAUUCAGUUAUUUACCAGUUCAACACACUUGUGCUAAAGUCAAGAUGUCUGCGCGCAGGGCUUGGAGCUGGCGUACGAAUGCUGGGAGUGGUUCACGCUCGUGUUCGCGCCGCUCAUGAUCAUGCUCAUGGCGGCGCUGUCGGCGCACUGCUGCUGCAGCCUGCGCGGCUCGCUCGCCGCCAUCUUCACGCCCGUGCUGGCCAUCGUCUUCUACUGGAUUACAUUAUACUUCGUAUUCGUGGUGAACAGCCAACGCAUGAAGGCCUUCCCGUCGCGCCCGUGAUCCCGGAGGCACUUGUGUGCUGUUUCUUUAUUUUUGACCUUGGUUUUCUGAGUAAAGCAUUCUUUUUUUGUCGAUGAUUACUACUAAGCGUACAUAUGAUUGAGGGGAUACCUAAUUUGACACAUGUUGGACAAUAUUGAAUAAAUGUUUACACGUAAAA